rnacentral:lncRNA from 1 species
CCUAUGUUCUUGUGUAACUAGACUUUUUAGCCACUAAUAUCUAAAUUUAUGAUAGGGUUUGUUAUUUCAUUCCACUAGUACUUCCCUCAAGGAUUAGCAUUUGAUCUUUGUAACAAGAGAAUGUCAUAUUCACAGAAGCAAAUAAUUGCAAGUGAUAAUAACCCAGUGUUUCUUCUGUGAAGAAUUAAUGGACUUUGAAAUUGUUAAAUAAGGAGUAGCUUGUUGUAUCCUAGCCAUUUGAUGUAAUACAAGUGUUCUUGAUUUAUUUUCUUUGAGCCUUCAGAGUUUCAAAUGACCCUCAGGACUCAUUAACUCCUACUUAGUUGUCCAGAAAACUAGCAGGAAUUUACCCUGGAUCUCAUUUGUCCAAGAGGCUUUGGUGCUUAGUUAAGGUGCAUUUUCUUAUUCUGGUUUAUAGAGUGACAUAUCCAACUGAAGAAAACACACACACACUUCUGGUGCUUAUUCUUCAGUUGAAGGAAGAUAUGCAUUGAUUCUUUUAUAUGAAAUUAGACAAAACUAUU